rnacentral:rRNA from 1 species
GGGGAGGGAGCUUGCUCCUGACUGCGGCGGACGGGUGAGUAUGCUAGGAAUCUGCCUAUUAGUGGGGGACAACAUUCCGAAAGGAAUGCUAAUACCGCAUACGCCCUACGGGGGAAAGCAGGGGAUCUUCGGACCUUGCGCUAAUAGAUGAGCCUAAGUCAGAUUAGCUAGUUGGUGGGGUAAAGGCCUACCAAGGCGACGAUCUGUAGCGGGUCUGAGAGGAUGAUCCGCCACACUGGGACUGAGACACGGCCCAGACUCCUACCGGGAGGCAGCAGUGGGGAAUAUUGGACAAUGGGCGAAAGCCUGAUUCAUUCAUGCCGCGUGUGUGAAGAAGGCCUUUUGGUUGUAAAGCACUUUUAAGCGAGGAGGAGGCUCCUGAGAUAAUCCUCUUGGAUAGUGGCCGUACCUCCCAGAAUAGCACCGGCUACUCUGGGCAGCAGCCGGGGAAUCAGAGGUGCAGCGUAAUCGAUUACUGGCGUAAGGUGCUAGCCGCUUUU